ACUACUGACUAUACACGUACUUACCUGGCAGAAUAAGUCUAUUCUAGAAACAUGGGACGUCGAAUCUUGCUUGUCUUCGUGGUGGUGGCAACCAUUCUGCUGUCAAUGGGAGUGGAGGCAGACCCACACCCGAGACGCUACCCCCGCAGUGUAGACAGUGAGAUACCCACAGACGGUCCUUAAUUCGACUUCGCGGAUGUGACAACAGAAGACGGCACAA